GUUGAUCAUACACAUCGACAUGUGCUAAUCACUUUAUAUAUUUUUUUGCACUGUUCAACACUUUUCGUUGUGAUUUGAUUUUGAUGUUAAAAAAGUCAAAUUUCAAUUGAAUUCCAGACUUACCGUCAAUAAAGGUGCUCCCAAAGAUUUAACGUUAAGAAGAGACGAUAUGCGACUUUGUUUGGAUACGGAAUAAAUGGUGGUUGUAUCGUGUGCGUAAGCUAAAACUGAAUUUCGACGCACAUGUAUUUGAGUGGUGCCGCGAAUUACCGUCGAUGUCAAUGAUAUUAUCGGUUGCCGUGAUUGAGCAAAAUUGCUGUAGAUGGCACACAUUCCAGUCAUUGUCAACACUUUAUUUUAUUCGACUUUUUUGUAUCUAUUUUUAAUAUUCUUCAAAAUAAAACGACUAGCAAGUGUCGUUGAGAGACGAGCUAUAUUUCAAUGAGAUUACGGAAUUCCACCAAUGUGAAACCACAUGUGUGUUUUAAUUCAUAUCACAAACAGUCGUGAACGUCUUUACGACGAUAAUAACAGAGCAUCCAAUCGUCUUUUGUCACUUUUGACUCUGAAACUAACACAAACACUUUGAAUCUCCAUAGAAAACAAAUUCUUUAUCAUUUGAGAUGAGUUUCUUAUUCAAUUUGCUUUGCUAAUCGGCCCAUUUCGUAUCAUUUCGGAUGAUUGAAUGCUUAUUGCCGCACUGUUGUUGUUGUUGUGAUGUUUCUUGUUUUCAAUCUGAUUAUAUGUCAGAUGUGCAAAUGUCAAUUUUUGGGCUAAACAAAAAUAGGUUGCGUUCUUUUAACCGUUUUACGAUGAUUUCGUUCGUAUGAUGAUAUUGAAAAAAGCUACCGUUGUCUAUUAAUCAAUAUUAACCUGGCCUACCUUGAUUUUUACUUAUUUUCAUUAUGAUUUCUUCACUUUUAAAAUCAAAAGUACAAAAUUCAUUGAAAUUUUCUUUUUCAUUUUCAAAAAUGUUUUCGAACGGGUCGGAGAGGCGGUGGUGUCGCUAAGUUGAUACUAUUUGUUUACAUAAAUAAAAGUUCGAAUUGGAUUUAAAUAUAAACAAAUUGAAAUUGAAACACAGAUACAAUACAAGACGCAAGUGAAUUUUAACUGGUUUUCCGUACUUUUAAAAUGAAACUUAGAAGUGGAAGAGUAAAAGGAGAAGAGCUCGAUGAUAAUAUCUUUGAAGACUCAAGACUUUUUCGCGCAUAUGUCAAAACAGAUCCAAUAGCAAACAUCAACACCAGAGAAAUGUUGCAAGAUGAAUUCAUCAACUCGAAUAGUGAUGCACCUGAUGGUUUGGGUCCAAUUUCGCAUUCAACGAAUGAUGAUAAUCUAAUGUAUGACAUAAUGGCAUGGAUGUUCUAUACCCUUUUAUUUUUAUUUAUUGUAACACUUUUACUUUUUAUUUGGUAUUG